rnacentral:misc_RNA from 1 species
AGUCGUAACAAGGUUUCCGUAGGUGAACCUGCGGAAGGAUCAUUACUGAUUUGCUUAAUUGCACCACAUGUGUUUUUCUUUGAAACAAACUUGCUUUGGCGGUGGGCCCAGCCUGCCGCCAGAGGUCUAAACUUACAACCAAUUUUUUAUCAACUUGUCACACCAGAUUAUUACUAAUAGUCAAAACUUUCAACAACGGAUCUCUUGGUUCUCGCAUCGAUGAAGAACGCAGCGAAAUGCGAUACGUAAUAUGAAUUGCAGAUAUUCGUGAAUCAUCGAAUCUUUGAACGCACAUUGCGCCCUCUGGUAUUCCGGAGGGCAUGCCUGUUUGAGCGUCGUUUCUCCCUCAAACCGCUGGGUUUGGUGUUGAGCAAUACGACUUGGGUUUGCUUGAAAGACGGUAGUGGUAAGGCGGGAUCGCUUUGACAAUGGCUUAGGUCUAACCAAAAACAUUGCUUGCGGCGGUAACGUCCACCACGUAUAUCUUCAAACUUUGACCUCAAAUCAGGUAGGACUACCCGCUGAACUUAAGCAUAUCAAUAA